rnacentral:lncRNA from 1 species
AAUCGCCACUUCACACAAUUACAUGAAUAAAGCAUUACAUCAUCCAGAUACAAUCAAGGUCCGACUACGGAACCAAAAUAAAAGAAAAACCCCAAAAGCGACAAAAGGUCCCCGAUCGACCCCAACUGGGCUCCACUACUGAUCAACUAGAACGAAACAACACAAAGGGCAAGAUCUUCAUCGAGCUCCUCCUUGAGCUUGGUUGCGUCACCUGCUCGGUAACAUAGGCACCUGCAAACUGGUUUUGGAAGUAUCUGUGAGCCACAAGGACUCAGCAAUCUCACACCCGCGAGAUCAAGACUAUUUAAGCUUAUGGGUAAGAUAAAGGCAUGAGGUGGAGCUGCAGCAAGCGACUAGCAUAUAUGGUGGCUAACAUACGCAAAUGAGAGCGAGAAGAGAAGGCAAAGCACGGUCGAUAAAAGUAUGGUCAAGAAGUGAUCCUAUAGCAACCUACUUACGUCAAACAUAACCCAGAACCGUGUUCACUUCCCGGACUCCGCCGAGAAGAGACCAUCACGGCUACACACGCGGUUGAUGCGUUUUAAUUCGGAUCUGGUGUCAAGUUAUCUACAACCGGACAUUAACAAAUUCCCAUCUGCCACAUAACCGCGGGCACGGCUCUCGAAAGUUUAUAACCCUGCAGGGGUGUCCCAACUUAGCCCAUGACAAGCUCUCGCGAUCAACGAAGGAAUAGACCUUCUCCCAGGAAGACCCGAUCAGUCUCGGAAUCCCGGUUUACAAGACAUUUCGACAAUGGUAAAACAAGACCAGCAAAGCCGCCCGAAUGUGCCGACAAAUCCUGAUAGGAGCUGCACAUAUCUCGUUCUCAGGGCACACCGGAUUGUCCAAACUUCCGGUAGGCCAGCCCAGAGUUGCCCCUGGUGACCACCGGCGGCUGACAGGUUGGACCAACACUCACGACGAGCACUGGCCCGGGGGGGUAAAUAAAGAUGACCCUUGAGUCUGCAGAACCCAAGGGAAAAAGGCUUAGGUAGGCAAAUGGUAAAACCAAGGUUGGGCCUUGCUGGAGGAGUUUUAUUCAAAGCGAACUGUCAAGGGGGUCCCAUAAAUCACCCGACCGCGUAAGGAACGCAAAAUCCGGGAACAUAACACCGGUAUGACGGAAACUAGGGCGGCAAGAGUGGAACAAAACACCAGGCAUAAGGCCGAGCCUUCCACCCUUUACCAAGUAUAUAGAUGCAUUAAUUAAAUAAGAGAUAUUGUGAUAUCCCAACAAGUAAACAUGUUCCAACAAGGAACAACAUCUCCAUGUUCCAACAAGGAACAAACUUCAAUCUUCACCUGCAACUAGCAACGCUAUAAGAGGGGCUGAGCAAAGCGGUAACAUAGCCAAUCAACGGUUUGCUAGGAAAUGGUGGGUUAGAGGUUUGACAUGGCAAUUUGGGAGGCUGACAAGCAAAUGGUAGGCAUCGUAGCAUUGGCAUAGCAAAAGAGCGAGCAAACUAGCAUAGCAAAGAUAGAAGUGAUUUCGAGGGUAUGGUCAUCUUGCCUGAGAUCCCGCUAGGAAGAAGAACGAGUCCAUGAAGAAGACAAAUGG